CAAUAGCGUAUAUUAAAGUUGUUGCGGUUAAAAAGCUCGUAGUUGGAUUUCUGCUGAGGACGAUCGGUCCGCCCUCUGGGUGAGUAUCUGGCUCGGCCUUGGCAUCUUCUUGGAGAACGUUACUGCACUUGACUGUGUGGUGCGGUAUCCAGGACUUUUACUUUGAGGAAAUUAGAGUGUUUCAAGCAGGCGCACGCCUUGAAUACAUUAGCAUGGAAUAAUAAGAUAGGACCUUGGUUCUAUUUUGUUGGUUUCUAGAGCUGAGGUAAUGAUUAAUAGGGAUAGUUGGGGGCAUUCGUAUUUAACUGUCAGAGGUGAGAUUCUUGGAUUUGUUAAAGACGGACUACUGCGAAAGCAUUUGCCAAGGAUGUUUUCAUUGA
rnacentral:rRNA from 1 species